rnacentral:rRNA from 1 species
GACGUAGGGGGCGAGCGUUGUCCGGAUUUAUUGGGCGUAAAGAGCUCGUAGGCGGCUUGGCAAGUCGGAUGUGAAACCUCCAGGCUUAACCUGGAGACGCCAUUCGAUACUGCUAUGGCUUGAGUCCGGUAGGGGCGCAUGGAAUACCCGGUGUAGCGGUGAAAUGCUUAGAUAUCGGGUGGAACACCAGUGGCGAAGGCGGUGCGCUGGGCCGGAACUGACGCUGAGGAGCGAAAGCGUGGGUAGCAAACAGGAUUAGAAACCCGCGUAGUCC